GUAAAUCGCAAACCUGUAGAAAUUCAGGGACGCAAAGUCACGGGCCUAAGGUCAUGAAGACUAUGGCAGCCGGAUUACCGA
rnacentral:ncRNA from 1 species